GACGAACGCUGGUGGCGUGCUUAACACAUGCAAGUCGAACGGAAAGGCCCUGCUUUUGUGGGGUGCUCGAGUGGCGAACGGGUGAGUAACACGUGAGUAACCUGCCCUUGACUUUGGGAUAACUUCAGGAAACUGGGGCUAAUACCGGAUAGGAGCUCCUGCUGCAUGGUGGGGGUUGGAAAGUUUCGGCGGUUGGGGAUGGACUCGCGGCUUAUCAGCUUGUUGGUGGGGUAGUGGCUUACCAAGGCUUUGACGGGUAGCCGGCCUGAGAGGGUGACCGGCCACAUUGGGACUGAGAUACGGCCCAGACUCCUACGGGAGGCAACAGUGGGGAAUAUUGCACAAUGGGCGGAAGCCUGAUGCAGCAACGCCGCGUGCGGGAUGACGGCCUUCGGGUUGUAAACCGCUUUCGCCUGUGACGAAGCGUGAGUGACGGUAAUGGGUAAAGAAGCACCGGCUAACUACGU
rnacentral:rRNA from 1 species